ACCUCGGUGGCGUAGUGGUAACACGCGUCCCUAGUAUGGAUGAAAUGCGGGUUUCGACUCCCGUCCGAGGUC